UACGUAGGUGGCAAGCGUUGUCCGGAUUUAUUGGGUUUAAAGGGUGCGUAGGCGGCCCUGUAAGUCACUUGUGAAAUCUCUGAGCUUAACUCAGAACGGCCAAGUGAUACUGCUGUGCUAGAGUGCAGAAGGGGCAAUCGGAAUUCUUGGUGUAGCGGUGAAAUGCGUAGAUAUCAAGAGGAACACCUGAGGUGAAGACGGGUUGCUGGGCUGACACUGACGCUGAGGCGCGAAAGCCAGGGGAGCAAACGGG
rnacentral:rRNA from 1 species